rnacentral:rRNA from 1 species
UAGGGAAUCUUCCGCAAUGGACGCAAGUCUGACGGAGCAACGCCGCGUGAGUGAAGAAGGUUUUCGGAUCGUAAAACUCUGUUGUUAGAGAAGAACAAGAGUGNNAGAGUANUGUUUAGCGCCUUGACGGUAUCUAACCAGAAAGCCACGGCUAACUACGUGCCAGCAGCCGCGGUAAUACGUAGGUGGCAAGCGUUGUCCGGAUUUAUUGGGCGUAAAGCGAGCGCAGGCGGUUCCUUAAGUCUGAUGUGAAAGCCCCCGGCUCAACCGGGGAGGGUCAUUGGAAACUGGGGAACUUGAGUGCAGAAGAGGAGAGUGGAAUUCCAUGUGUAGCGGUGAAAUGCGUAGAUAUAUGGAGGAACACCAGUGGCGAAGGCGACUCUCUGGUCUGUAACUGACGCUGAGGCUCGAAAGCGUGGGUAGCAAACAGGAUUAGAUACCCUGGUAGUCCACGCCGUAAACGAUGAGUGCUAAGUGUUGGAGGGUUUCCGCCCUUCAGUGCUGCAGUUAACGCAUUAAGCACUCCGCCUGGGGAGUACGACCGCAAGGUUG